UGCUUGCACUUACCUUUAAUGAACAUAUCAAAGCAGCGAGAUCCAGACACAAAUAGUUACGAAACUGCCAAAGUCACGUGAUUUCAGUAAACGAGGCUUUGUUACGUCAUAAGUGUUUCAAAAUUUCAAUGGUUCACCACUGGGGGGAGUGACUUUGAUACACGCUCUGAACCACUGAAUUGAAACAAAAGAUUUGAAAAGCUUCGAAACUUCAUGAAGCAGUGGUUUGAAAUCGCCCAUCACUAGAUAUCGUUGAAUAAAGUCGUUAUUUUGUGGUGUUUUUUUUUUUUUUGGCACACAAAAAGUAUUCUUGUUGCUUCAUAACAUUAAGGUUGAACCACUGUAGUCACAUGAACUGAUUUAAAUAUGUCUUUAGUAACUUUCUGGGCACCUGAAAGUGUUAAUUAUUUUGUUGGCAAUGCAGGCUUCACUAAGCCAUUGGAUUUUAUCAAAAAUAUCUUAAUUUGUGUUCUGAAGAUGAACGAAGGUCUUACGGGUGUGGAACGAAAUGAGGGUGAGUAAUAAAUGACAGAAUUUUCAUUUUUGGGUAAACUAACACUUUAACACAUUAAAUCAGCAGUCUCGGAGUAGCUUAACCAUAAAAUAAAAGUUUAUUGAGUGAUGCUCAAAAGAGGCAACUAAAGCUGCUUAACAAUUUUUUUUUUUUUUAUCUAGUACCAUAAUAAUAAUAAUAAUAAUAAUAAGUUUUAUUUAUAUAGCGCCUUUACAGGGCUCAAGGACACUUUACAAUGUACAUUUAACAAGGACGAGAUAAUACGAGUAGACAAUGAUGAAAGUAUAACAUUCAGAAAACAAGUGAGUUUUGAGUAAUGAUUUAAAUUCAGAGAUAUUAUUACCAUUGUGGUCUUUCAUUAUGAUUAUGGUUUUCUUUAAUUUGUUUUUACAAAUGUCUGUUUUUUUUUUCAUACACAAAAGUAACAAGUAUUGACAGACUGGAGGAGGAGUUUAUGCAAAACUGUGCAGUAUAUUUCUGUGUCUGUGUUCACUGACUGUAUGUGGAUCCUGUAGAGGAGAAUCAAUCAGCAAUGACAACAAUGAUCAGUUCACUCCUGAUAUUACUAUUUUUACAUGAUAUUCAUUGUCAGACCUUCACUCAGUCUCAAGCUGUGAUAAAAAGACCUGGUGAAUCUUUUCAGCUGGUCUGUACCACCUCUGGAUUUACUUUCAGCAGCUACAGUGCAGCUGUGGUGAGACAGGGUCACGGUAAAGGACUGGAAUGGAUUGCAUACAUCAGCACAUCCAGUACUCCGAUCUACUAUUCCCAGUCAGUCCAGGGAAGGUUCACAGUGUCCAGAGAUGACUCCAGCAGUCAACUGUACCUGCAGAUGAACAGCCUCAAGACUGAAGACACUGCUGUGUAUUACUGUGCUAGA